GACAGAGGGUGCAAGCGUUAAUCGGAAUUACUGGGCGUAAAGCGUGCGUAGACGGUUAUCUAAGUCGGAUGUGAAAUCCCCGGGCUCAACCUGGGAAUUGCAUUCGAAACUGGCUAGCUAGAAUGCGGAAGAGGGAAGCGGAAUUUCUGGUGUAGCGGUGAAAUGCGUAGAUAUCAGAAGGAACAUCAGUGGCGAAAGCGGCUACCUGGACCAGCACUGACACUGAGGCACGAAAGCGUGGGGAGCAAACAGG
rnacentral:rRNA from 1 species